UUAUUCAACCAAAAAUCGACCCUAUUAUUACUGUACUGUGAUCGUUAUUUGUAGGGUCGUAUGCUGAUCGUGGUUUUACCACGGUAAAACAAAGAUCACCCAUAGACAAAAUUAUUGCCGACGAAGUUUAUAAAAAAACGACCUUAUUAAUAUUUCACUGUGAUCGUUAUUUGUAGAGUGAAAGCUGAUUGUCUAUUUGUGAUCGUGGUUUUACCACGGUAUUCCGUCAGUCAGCAUACGACCCUACAAAUAACGAUCGCAUUGUAGUAAUAAAUAAGGUCGAUUUUUGUUAGAAUGUUGGAUAGAUGUAAUAAUUAUCUCUCUAUUUAAUUUGUUCAUGGUGGCUACUCGAAGCGUGCAUAUCUUUGUGUGGAAGUAAAAAACCCAAGGAUUAUACGUAUGCUCAACUUGGACAAAAUCAAAGAUGAUUCCACUAAUACUGCAACCCAAUCCAGUACAACCCAGUGGAAGAAUGACCAGAAAUGCAAAAGUAUUUCAAGAAACUAUGGGAUAUUUUCUCGUCGUAGUCAACAUGAGACACAUUCUCUUCAAGGUUCUACCGAAAAGCAAAGAGGGGGUGAUCGGAAAGGAGCAAAAUGUUCAAGAAAACUCUUAAUGACUAACUAAAAAUGAAGGUUUUUCUAAUAAAGGCAAGUGCCAAAAUGUACCGUAUAAAUAUAUUUUGUGAUU